AUUGAACGCUGGCGGCAUGCCUUACACAUGCAAGUCGAACGGCAGCGGACCUUCGGGUGCCGGCGAGUGGCGAACGGGUGAGUAAUGUAUCGGAACGUACCUUUCAGUGGGGGAUAACGUAGCGAAAGUUACGCUAAUACCGCAUAUUCUGUGAGCAGGGAAGCAGGGGAUCGCAAGACCUUGCGCUGAUUGAGCGGCCGAUAUCAGAUUAGCUAGUUGGUGAGGUAAAGGCUCACCAAGGCGACGAUCUGUAGCGGGUCUGAGAGGACGAUCCGCCACACUGGAACUGAGACACGGUCCAGACUCCUACGGGAGGCAGCAGUGGGGAAUUUUGGACAAUGGGCGCAAGCCUGAUCCAGCCAUGCCGCGUGAGUGAAGGAGGCCUUCGGGUUGUAAAGCUCUUUCGGCCGGGAAGAAAUCGCAUGGGUUAAUACCCUGUGCGGAUGACGGUACCGGCAUAAGAAGCACCGGCUAACUACGUGCCAGCCGCCGCUGUAAUAC
rnacentral:rRNA from 1 species